GACGAACGCUGGCGGCGUGCUUAACACAUGCAAGUCGAACGGAAAGGUCCUGCUUUUGUGGUGUGCUCGAUUGGCGAACGGGUGAGUAACACGUGAGUAACCUGCCCUUGACUUUGGGAUAACUUCAAGAAACUGGGGCUAAUACCGGAUAGGAGCUCCUGCUGCAUGGUGGGUGUUGGAAAGUUUCGGAGGUUUGGGAUGGACUCGCGGCUUACGAACUUGUUGGUGGUGUAGUGGCUUACCAAGGCCUUGAAGGGUAGCCGGCCUGAGAGGGGGACCGGGAAAAGUGGGACAGAGAUACGGGACAGAGUAGUAAGGGAGGCAGCAGUAGGGAAUAGUGCACGAUGGGCGGAAGUCUGAUGAAGGAACGCUGCGUGAGGGAUGAUGGACUUCGGGUUGUAAACCGCAUUCAGCUGUGACGAAGAGUGAGUGACGGUAAUGGGUAAAGAAGCACCGGCUAACUACGUG
rnacentral:rRNA from 1 species